GUGAGGAAUAUUGGUCAAUGGGCGAGAGCCUGAACCAACCAAGUCGCGUGAAGGAAGAAGGAUCUAUGGUUCGUAAACUUCUUUUGCAGGGGAAUAAAGUGCAGGACGUGUCCUGUUUUGUAUGUACCCUGAGAAUAAGGAUCGGCUAACUCCGUGCCAGCAGCCGCGGUAAUACGGAGGAUCCGAGCGUUAUCCGGAUUUAUUGGGUUUAAAGGGUGCGUAGGUGGUUUGAUAAGUCAGCGGUGAAAGUUUGCAGCUUAACUGUAAAAAUGCCGUUGAAACUGUCGGACUUGAGUGUAAAUGAGGUAGGCGGAAUGCGUGGUGUAGCGGUGAAAUGCAUAGAUAUCACGCAGAACUCCGAUUGCGAAGGCAGCUUACUAAGCUACAACUGACACUGAAGCACGAAAGCGUGGGGAUCAAACAGGAUUAGAAACCCCUGUAGUCC
rnacentral:rRNA from 1 species